GCCGCCAUGGGGGAGCUGGAGUCCCCACCUCGUUGUCAGCGAGGGGACCGCGGGUUCAAGUCCCGCUGGCGGCG
rnacentral:tRNA from 1 species